CACGUAGGGGACGAGCGUUGUCCGGAUUCAUUGGGCGUAAAGCGCGCGUAGGCGGCUUGUCACGUCGGAUGUGAAAGCCCGGGGCUUAACCCCGGGUCUGCAUUCGAUACGGGCAGGCUAGAGUGUGGUAGGGGAGAUCGGAAUUCCUGGUGUAGCGGUGAAAUGCGCAGAUAUCAGGAGGAACACCGGUGGCGAAGGCGGAUCUCUGGGCCAUUACUGACGCUGAGGAGCGAAAGCGUGGGGAGCGAACAGG
rnacentral:rRNA from 1 species